rnacentral:lncRNA from 1 species
CGAGGCGGGGCAGAGGUGCCUGCUGCCCCUUCUCGCCUGGGGCCAGUAAGAGCGAGGCUGGCUUCUCAUCCCCGGAGCCCUCGGAGCCGCCUCCACUCGUGGUGCUUGUAUGUCCAGGCUCUGAAUUUAUUGGGUUCACUGAUGCUGUGAACACUUGGUGUGGUUCUGCCCUUCAGCAGUGAGGACACAGGUAAUGUCCCAGACACAGCUGCCAUCCUGGGAUUAAAAGUGGGGAGCUAGACAUACUGCUAAGAAGAAACUGGUCCUUAAUUCCAGGUGGGAUGGAAAGGCUUACGCACAUCCUCUCAGAGGUUGCAGAAGACACAGCAUUCAC